AAAAGACACUGCUACUUCUGACUUUUCCUUGGUGUCCAUGAAAGCAGUGCCUGAGGAAUCAUAUCUGCAGUGAAUCCUUCUCCAUGGCAGUGACACAGAGAGGUCAGUUCUGAUUUAAACCUGUUGUCUCCUAAAGGUGACAAGCUGAAGAUAUUCCUAAGGGAAGCCUCACCUCUGAUAUUCAGCAAGACCGUGAGCAUUCUGAACCCUUGAAAUGGGCAUCUCUCACAGCUACCCUCAAUCAAGUGAAGGGCUAUUUGCAAAAAUUAGAGGUCUCAUUUUUUUGAAGAGGAAAGGACCACUGACUACUCUGAGCUUUUUCAGUCAUCCACAGAAAUGAGCCUGAGAUGGACCAUGGGCACCUCACCAAGGAUGUCACAGCAACGUGUUCCCAGAGCACUGAGGACAUCGGCACUUCUGAGAAUGAAACCUCUUGUGUUAAGUGGCUUUUUAGUACUUCAUGGGGAAUAUCUCUAAAACAGGUCUUUAUUUUUAAACUGGGGGGGUUUUGUAAGAUUGAUUUUACCUCAAGACAUCACAAUCCCAACAUUCAUGUAAGGAUGAAUACAUGCACAACUCCAGAUGACCCCAACAGAAAAAUCAUGCUUCCCUGGCAUGUGAUAUCAUAGAAGGCAUGUUCAAUUUUCAGCACAGAAAAACAUUUACAGAAUUCUACCUUUUCACAGAGGGAAAGCACAGUCCCAGCUUGGAUUAUUGCAACCUGCUCUUCAUUUCUCAAAUUCUAAAAUACAAAAAUAUGCAUUUUAAAUUGGGUCAAAAAUUCAUCCUUUAACACAAAAAAUAACGGUACUUCAAAAAAUAAAUAAUUAUAACAAUUAGAAUUAUAGAAAUGACCAAAAAAGUAUCCCAUUAUUAAAAGUAUUAAAAGUUAAACCAGGAGUGCUUAGUGUCCACUCAAUUUCAGUACAAUACCUCCCCAACACUUUUGCAACAAUUUAUUAUUUGAUGAAAAUUAAGUGGUUUCUGUCAGCAAUUUUGAAUUUUUUUUUCCCUUAGGCCUGUUAAUUGGACUAUGGCCCUACAGCAUGUGAAUCUCCCCUUCGUGCACUUUCAGAGCUAGACUUCCCAUUAAUGAAAACAAUGCAAAGAUCAAGUACCAUAGAAACCUCCAUAGAAUUUUCAACAUAAUAUGUAAAUCUAGAACUUAAAACUAGCAUUGUAAAGACCUCAAUAUCUUAAAGCUACCUAUAAACUGGACCCAGGUCCCUGGAUGUUUGUGCCACAACUGCAUGACCAAGAUUUUAUUCUAUAUUUGGCACUGUAGAAGAAGAAAGGGACACAGUUAUCCUUGCCUUGCCUUUCUCCCAGAAAAUCCACUCCUGGCAGAAAACAGUCUUCACAGUAGUAGGUGCUACUAUUACUACUCAAAAGAAAAAACUUUGCCAACAAUUUGGUCUGGCUUUCAUUUCCGUUUUAAAUCUGUUUUUAUUUCCUUUUAUAUCUAGUCUGGGUAUUAUCUUUUCCCUCUGCCUACUUCAGUGCCUUUUUCUACAUCAUUCAGUCAAGAUCAAAUCCUAGCUUCAAAAAAUACACUUUUCACUGGUAUCAGUUUAACUGAAAGAUUUCAAGUUUGUAAAAGCAGUACCUAACCAUUCAUAUGCUUCAUACAAAUACAAAUAGGCAUAUAAAAAUCACCCUCUGUAUUUUCUUGGAUGUUAUUAUCUGCUGUGGAGAAAAAAAUGCAUUAAAUUAACCAUAAAACUGAAGGUAUAUUUAAAAUUAAAAAUUUGUUACCCCAUUAUCUCCAAGAAUAUCUAAUUUCUUCAUGAGUUCAGAUAUGUUCACAUCCUGAAAAAGAUGUUCAACACUUAUUUUUUUUAAAGUAGGUGAGAAAUAGAUUA